ACGGCUCAGUAACACGUGGCUAACCUGCCCUUGGGACAGAGACACCCCCGGGAAACUGGGGCUAAUCCCUGAUAGGCGAAGAACUCUGGAAUGAGUCUUCACCCAAAAGACGCCUAGGCCACGCUUCUAGGCGCCGCCCAAGGAUGGGGCCGCGACCGAUCAGGUUGUUGGUGAGGUAACGGCCUACCAAGCCUUUUACCGGUACGGGCCGUGAGAGCGGGAGCCCGGAGAUGGGCACCGAGACAAGGGCCCAGGUCCUACGGGGCGCAGCAGUCGCGCAAACUUUGCAAUACACGAAAGUGUGACAGGGCUAUCCCGAGUGCCGUCCGCUGAGGGUGGCUUUUACCCAGUCUAGAAAGCUGGGAGAAUAAGGAGAGGGCAAGUCUGGUGUCAGCCGCCGCGGUAGUACCAGCUCUCCGAGUGGUGUGGAUGUUUAUUGGGCCUAAAGCAUCCGUAGCUUGCUGAUCAAGUCCCCUGUUAAACCCAACGAAUCAAUCGUUGGAUUGCGGGGGAUACUGCUCGGCUAGGGGACGGGAGAGGCCGACGGUAUUUUCGGGGUAGGGGUGAAAUCCUAUAAUCCCGAGAGGACCACCAGUGGCGAAGGCUGUCGGCUAGAACGCGCCCAACGGUGAGGGAUGAAAGCUGGGGGAGCGAACCGGAUUAGAUACCCGGGUAGUCCCAGCUGUAAACGAUGCAGCUAGGUGUUUGAGCGGCUACGCGCCGCUCUAGUGCCGCAGGGAAGCUGUUAAGCCUGCCGCCUGGGGAGUACGGCCGCAGGCUGAAACUUAAAGGAAUUGGCGGGGGAGCAC
rnacentral:rRNA from 1 species